GUAAAGGAACUGUGAAUGCACAAGAGAGGUGAAGAAGAGAGUGCAGGCAUGGUGGAAUGGGUGGAGGCAAGUCUCCGACUGAUUUGUGAAAGAAUGGUAACAGCAAGAGUGAAAGGGGAAUGAGACCUGCUAUGAUGCAUGGUUCGGAGACAGGCACUGUUAGAUUUGUAUUGUUGAUUGUCAUUUAUGCUUAGAAACAUUUACCCACAUAUGCUUAGAAGUGUAUAACCAUUUGUAGAUUGAAAGAAUGUCUCAUCCUAGGAGGUCUGUAACAGCUCUGUGUAGCAUGAAGGGGGAGUGCGUUCACUCCCUCUACAGAGUGUUCCGGCGUAGAUCACACCUCCUAGGAGAGGUCGUAUCUUUUCUUAUUGAUUUAUGGUAUAGCAAGCACACGUAUAUCUGUUUACAUAUAAGAGCCUUUUGUUCAGAUGGACCGCUAGACUCCUGGCACCAGCUUUGGGGAGUCUUCACAGGGUCACAUCUGGACACCACACACACACACACACACACACACACACACACACACACACACACACACAGUAUUCUUUGUUCACAUGUAUACCUAUGUAAGAUGUCAUAUGUUAAUGACCCUAUGCAUAUUCAUGUAACCACAAUAAAAGGAGUGCUAUGGGGAGCCUGGCUGAGAGUCUGACGGAGGUCAAGUGGUGGAACGACACUCGGCUCCAGCCAGCUUUCCCUCAUGCAUGAGUAAAACCAGCCUGCUUGUGUCUUGCUUUGCAGUGUAACUAUAUUGUCUUCAACGUUCCAGCGGAUAGGUACAAGCUACAAACCUAUCAUUAAUUGGUCCUUCGAGCCGGAUCCCUGGAGUCGACAUUCACCGGGGGGAGAAGAGGCACGCGGAAAGACUGACGUCAGCCAGGAGGUUCCUGUGGAUUCGCUGUCUGUCCUUUCUCCUCGAUGAAUGGCGAUCGGCGGGAUUCGAGGCUGAUAUUACACGCUAAGCAACACCAACUAAGUUUAGAGUCCAACUCUAUAACUGUACGUCUUCGCCGCUCAGUGGGGCGUUGUCCGUGGCCGCUCAGUGGGGCUAAAAUUCGCCAUCUAAGUGGGGCGAUGUACAAAGCCGCUCAGUGGGGUUUUUUGUACAGAAGCAUUAAGUCGCAGAGUUGCGCAGUUCGAACUUUUUUUUGUUCGCCGUCUUAGUGGGGCGAAAUACAGACCGCUGUGUGGGGUACUGUAGUGAGUUCUCCACCGCUCAGUGGGGUGUUGAGAAGUUCCGCGGGGUCCAGAUUGUGCUGGACAAUAGGCCUAUUUUGUGUUGUUGUCAUUGUCGUCGUCGUUGUUGUUGUUGUUGUGUGUGCGGAGCAGAACAUGUGGUCUGUGACACCGACUGUUGUUGUUAUCAUGGGUUUCUAAGCAACCAAGAGUGAGUCGGAGGGAGAUAGAUGUUUGUGCUGGACUUUGCUCCUGGCAGCACAAAGUAUUUAUGUAAAAAAGAGAGAGAGCGACGGCUUCACAGCUGCGCGGGUUCACGCGAGCGCGGUCACGCGGACCUGAGCCGUGCGGUUAAUCGCAGGCUUAUAAAUGGAAGAGAUUCAAAUGUUAGAAGUUUUCAGAAAACACACCAGCCUUGGAGAGCUGUGGAGAAGGCCAGCCCACAUCAGCAGCACUUAAGAUAUGCUCUGGUGAAUGGCUUUCCCCCCACCCCUUGCUGACACAAUGUUUAUUCUUUAGCUUGCCCUGAUCGACAGCAGCCUGUGUGCCAGACCAUAGAUUUAAUUGAGGUGGAUAGUUGUUAAAAGUAAUCUACAUUAAGCUUGUGGUUGCUUAAAUUCAGUACAAUGACAUGUGAGGUGAAGUGAUAUAGGUAAAUAUUUAAACUAAUGAAGUGCAUAGAGGCACUUGACCUGUGUGAAAGACUGUCGUCUUGUUAUGAGCCAUUGUUGAGAUAUGGAGCACACCUGUGAAAACAACUAAUAUGCUGAACCCUGUAUGAAACAUCUAAAAGUACAUGAUGGAGGAGCUGUGUUGAAUAUGAACAACACAGCUCUGUGGGCAGAGCAUGCAACUACUGUGUGAUGUCGCGUUGCAGUUUCUUUUUCUGAGCUGAUGAGCAAGCUACACAUUAUCAGAUCAAGAGCUGUCUGGGAACUACUCAAAGAGGGGGAAACAGGGAGUGUGCAGCGUUUCCGUGAGCAGUUUUCCUGCAUCUUGACUUGUGUGUAGAGUGUUCAUAACAUCAGCAUCAUGUUUUUGUUUAUUUGUUUUGUUGGGUCGAAAAUAAUUAAAUAAACGUGUGAUCAUGCUUAUGGAUUACCAUGGCACAUAUCACCAGCCACGUGAUUUAUUUAUGCAGAUGAAAAAGUGAGUGUGAAUGUGUCUGACAUCACAGUGUUUUUGUGCACUGUGCAAAAGUAAUUGCCUUUGAUUGUGAGUGAGAGCGGUGAUUCUGCAGGUCACCAGCUAUUGUAACGGGGAAAAAAAAAAGAGUGAAAAAGAGACAAAAAUUACAUUGUAGACGAAGAAAAAUAAUCAUGGGAAAAAGGUUUCGUGUUGAUCAGCCGAAAAACAACUACAAUGUCAUUUUAUGCUUUUAAGAAAGGAUUGUUCACACAAACACACACACAGAGAGAGAGAGAUGUGUGUUGAUUAAGCAGCGAUGAUAAUAAUGAAAUGUCUUAGUUUGUCACUUUCAGGUGAAAAGCAGACCUGAAUCAAUUUUCCACAUGCAGCGGUCGGAAGAAAGUUAUAGUUUAACAUCAUUGGAAACGUGCAGGCCAAGUUUCUGGCUGACUUAUUACAGCGCAAUGUGUAUGUGUCUCUCAACCUCACAAGCAAGUGCUCACUCCUCCCUGAAGACAAGGAAUGCAGCUCCAAAGAGCAAUAACAUGGCAGAUAAAGACAGCAGCAAGUCCUGAGCAAAGAGUCCCAGCAAAGCAGCAGCAAUGUGGACAAACAGCAUCAAAGAAGAAGAGCAAACCCAUCAUCCUGACUGAUCGGAUGGAUGGCACUGUGUCUACAACAAGCUGAAACUUCACUGUGCAUGUGAAGAAAACGUUUGAGGAGAACUGAACAGUUGGAGUUUGACAUUUGCCACCUGUGGAGUAAAAUGGCAAGAAGAGACAGUGGAACACAGGACAAAGCUGAAGGAGAACUGCCGGGACUGUUGAAGUGGGAGAGGACAAAAGAGUGAGAGGACAGAGUGAGAAGACUAGGUGAGAACACAUAGGAAUUAUUUAAUGUGGGAAAUCAAAAUUUGGGUUAGCAAACCUGGGGAAAAAGAAAACUGACUGCUUAAGUUGGAAAAUUGUGAAGGAGUCUGAAACAUAUACAAACAUAUACAAAAUCACACAGAACAUGCCUUAACCCUACUAAUACAAACACAAAAUAACUCAUGAAGAUUAGACAUUUUAAGCGUGAGUCUGUUUAUCAUCUUGUCCAAGUCACCUCGUGUGAUGCAAAGACCAGUGGAACUCAUAGCACAGAACAUGCUCUGUUGGAGAUGCAGCUCCACAGACAUGCUUGUUAUCUUUCAUCAGUGUUAAAAUAGUGUCAAUUUAGCAGACACUUGUUAUCAAAUACUGAAUUUAUCCAAUAAAAAAAAUUGACUCUCUAGGUUGCAGGACAACAGUUUAACUUUUGUGGGGAAAAAGAUCCUGGUUUGACCAACCAGUGAUCAGACAAUAAAUUUAGUUAUUAAUAUAGUAAAUUGGGAGAAGCUUCCUGCUUGAUUGAUGCAGCACAAGUAAUUUACUGUAUGAGGGAAAUUCUCUUUUAGUGAUAACAUUUUGAACAUGCAUUUCUGUCGUCCUGUCAACUUAGUGGGUUAAUAGCUGAUAUGCAAAUUAGUUGAUUGGUUUUUAGAUUAAUGAAAGGUGACUGAAU
ensembl:lncRNA